rnacentral:rRNA from 1 species
GAUGAACGCUGGCGGCGUGCCUAAUACAUGCAAGUCGAGCGAACGGACGAGAAGCUUGCUUCUCUGAUGUUAGCGGCGGACGGGUGAGUAACACGUGGAUAACCUACCUAUAAGACUGGGAUAACUUCGGGAAACCGGAACUAAUACCGGAUAAUAUUUUGAACCGCAUGGUUCAAAAGUGAAAGACGGUCUUGCUGUCACUUAUAGAUGGAUCCGCGCUGCAUUAGCUAGUUGGUAAGGUAACGGCUUACCAAGGCAACGAUGCAUAGCCGACCUGAGAGGGUGAUCGGCCACACUGGAACUGAGACACGGUCCAGACUCCUACGGGAGGCAGCAGUAGGGAAUCUUCCGCAAUGGGCGAAAGCCUGACGGAGCAACGCCGCGUGAGUGAUGAAGGUCUUCGGAUCGUAAAACUCUGUUAUUAGGGAAGAACAUAUGUGUAAGUAACUGUGCACAUCUUGACGGUGCCUAAUCAGAAAGCCACGGCUAACUACGUGC